ensembl:lncRNA
AUGGCGCAGCAGCUGAGCACUGCGAAAGAGGGACAGCGAACAGCAUUCAGCCAGAUCUCCAAAGCAGAACACAGCACUACAAAUCCACCUCAGAGCAACGAAACGUUGAGGGAAGGAGAAAGGAUCCGGCUGCGAGCUGCUCACAGCAGCAUCUGCCUGGAAAAGAACCAACUGGUGGAGAAAGUGAAUGGGUUAGACCUGCAGCUGAAAGCGACUCUGUCAGACCGGAUGCGACUCCUUCAGGAGAAGGUGGAGCUCCAUCGACAGGUCCAGCAUCUCACUUCAGAGCUGGAAUGUGCCCGGAAACAGCAAGAAGGAAUCGGUGAGCAAGUCUCAGCCCUCCAUUCUGAGCUUCUCAACACCAAGACUCAGGCAAACCAUCAGGAAAAGGAGAAGGUCCUCAUGAAGGAGGAGCUGGAAUUGACCACACAGGUAAAGGAGGAGCUUUCUUCUGAAGUGACAGAGAGCCGUCAAAGACUGGAAGAAUUGCUCGAAAAGGUUCACCACUUAGAAGCGGAGAAGGAAAUCCUAGAAAGCCACAUCCAGGCUCUAGAGAAUGACCAGACCCAGUUACUGCAGGAGAAAGAAAAGAGUGCCCCACAAAAUCAGACAGGGGAUGUUCCUCUUCAAGACGGCUGUGGGCAUCACAGGUACUUGCUAAGAAAAUGUUAUGAGACAUUUUUAGGCAAGGGAAAUCGCCCUGAUGACCUCACAGGGCUGACCCAUUUUGCUGACUGAAGCUGGCUCCUCCUCCAUCGCAGUACAAACAGCUACCAGGCUGACACCCCGUGACUUUAUCGUUGCUGACGAGCGAGCGUGUGCCUUCCUCUGCCCCAGAGGGCAGCCAGCUAGAAUGAGUCACCUGGCAUUGGCAGCUCUGUCCUCCCACAGAAGGAAGUAGCCAGCUUAGGGGGACUGUUCAGAGGUGGCCAACGCUGCUCCUCACUCAUUUGCCAUCUGAGAUGGUUACAUCGCUGCACCUAAUAGCAGUCAGCCCUAGUAAGGUCCUUAUGUGUAGGAAGAUGUAUCACAUACUGGCUAAAUUCCUUGUUCUCACCAGCUUUGAAGCACUGGAUGCUGGGGAGUGGGGUUCAUCUUUUUCAGCAAUCAUCCAGUACUUCUGUACUUGCUGUGUGUGAGAGCUGUAAUCAUCACCAUCAUCUUAGAAUUGCAGAGCUGAAAGGAACCCUAUAGAAUAGAUCAUUGAAUCCGGUGCCUGUCAAGGAGGCACAGCGGGGAAUCGAACUCCAAGUCUCUGGGAAAUGACACUAAUUUUGUACAGAGAUAUCUUACCAGUGUUUAGGGACCCAACAAGACUCUUUGACAAGGGGUUUCGGAGCUCCACUAGAUUCUUCUGAGCCUUUAAUCCAAGGCAAGAGCAAGACAAGGAGUUCCUCCUUUCACACCCAGCUCCCCACAAUGUGGCAAAAUGUUUCUGUGUACUAUUAGCACCUUUUUGCUUUGAAAAAGAAAGUACUGUACACACAGAAAGCAAGCAUAAAAGGACUGGAUGGUUGUUCAGAAAACCUGCAAACAACCCAUUCCAUGCUUCUAAUUCUUAAGAAAGCUGCAAACAACCCAUCCUAUGCUUCUAAUUCUUGAAAACUCGUGAAACAAAGCAGCAGUUAUUUUUGGUUUUCUUGAUCUGCAUUUCUGCCCAGAUUGUUCUCACGAAUGCAAAAACUCCUCGCAGGACCAACAGAAACUAUGUUACCUUCUCUCCUCCAAAAAGGAAAAA